rnacentral:rRNA from 1 species
UACGAAGGGGGCUAGCGUUGCUCGGAAUCACUGGGCGUAAAGGGUGCGUAGGCGGGUCUUUAAGUCAGGGGUGAAAUCCUGGAGCUCAACCCCAGAACUGCCUUUGAUACUGAAGAUCUUGAGUUCGGGAGAGGUGAGUGGAACUGCGAGUGUAGAGGUGAAAUUCGUAGAUAUUCGCAAGAACACCAGUGGCGAAGGCGGCUCACUGGCCCGAUACUGACGCUGAGGCACGAAAGCGUG